rnacentral:rRNA from 1 species
AGUGAACGCUGGCGGUAGGCCUAACACAUGCCAGUCGAACGGCAGCACAGUAAGAGCUUGCUCUUACGGGUGGCGAGUGGCGGACGGGUGAGGAAUACAUCGGAAUCUACUUUUUCGUGGGGGAUAACGUAGGGAAACUUACGCUAAUACCGCAUACGACCUACGGGUGAAAGCAGGGGAUCUUCGGACCUUGCGCGAUUGAAUGAGCCGAUGUCGGAUUAGCUAGUUGGCGGGGUAAAGGCCCACCAAGGCGACGAUCCGUAGCUGGUCUGAGAGGAUGAUCAGCCACACUGGAACUGAGACACGGUCCAGACUCCUACGGGAGGCAGCAGUGGGGAAUAUUGGACAAUGAGCGCAAGCCUGAUCCAGCCAUACCGCGUGGGUGAAGAAGGCCUUCGGGUUGUAAAGCCCUUUUGUUGGGAAAGAAAAGCAGCAGGUUAAUACCCCGCUGUUCUGACGGUACCCAAAGAAUAAGCACCGGCUAACUUCGUG